GCAUCUCCGGAAGGGGUGCAUUGGCAAAUUUCCAGUCGCGAUCCGAAAAGUCAUCUCUCCAUGUCUUCCAGAGAUGCUACCUGACCCGCUUAGUUGCUCCAGACUUUGUGUCUGUCUUCAUCUGCAGUUCCUUCU